UGCCCCACACGUCGGCUGCAAUAAAUACGCAGCCUCGCUGCCCAGGAGCUUAAUGCUUGGAGCAGCCGCGCACCUUCUCUCUGUCUCCGGCACGUACGGUAAAGAACAUGGCUGCACUGGAACUCUUCCUCCUCGCUCUCGCUGUCUUCGCUCACGGGACCAGCGCUGACCUCAUCCUGACUCAAAGUCCCACAGUGGAGUCGGUCACGGUCGGAGGGAGUGUCACUCUCAACUGCAGGUCCAGCAACUCUGAUCAUACCAGUAGCUUAGCCUGGUAUCUGCAGAAACCUGGAAAAAGUCCUGAACUCCUGAUCUACUCUGUGAGUAGCAGAGCAACAGGGACACCAACCCGAUUCACCGGCAGCAAGUCUGGAACCAACUUCAUGCUGCAAAUCAGUGGGGUCCUGGCUGAAGAUGCAGGAGAUUACUACUGUCAGCAUUACUAUUCGCUUCCACUCACACAUUUUGGUGGCGGUACUAGACUGGAUGUUGGAAGUAACACCCGCCCAGCCCUUAAUGUCCUGUCCCCCUCGAACGCGGAGCUGACCAGCAAGGGGACGGCGACUCUGAUUUGCAUAGCCAACAGGGGCUUCCCUUCAGACUGGACGCUGAGCUGGAAGGUGGACGGGCAGGGCAAGACCUCCGCCCCCGGCAGAGGAGUCAUGGAGAAGGACGGUCUGUACAGCUGGAGCAGCACUUUGACCCUCACUGCUGACGAGUGGGCCAAGGCGGCGUCGCUCACCUGCGAGGCCUCCCAGGGGUCUCAAUCUCCGGUCACUCAGACGCUUCGGAAAGCCGACUGCACCGAGUAGACCAAGUGCCAAGCGGCCGAUCGCUGUUUUUUUCACUGCUCUACAGCAUAUGCAGCUUCUCUCCAUUAUAAUGAUCAAUCACAAUGGCUUUGCUCGUCGUAUGCAGGUUAUCAUUGCAACCACUAAUGUGCACAGCUUUAGUUCAGUUAGAUAUGUAUGUGUUGAUUGAUGGCUUAUAAUUAUAAACAAUAAACAAAUAUGUGAAUCAUAUCAAA